CCUACGGGUGGCAGCAGUGAGGAAUAUUGGUCAAUGGCCGUAAGGCUGAACCAGCCAAGUCGCGUGAAGGAAGAAGGAUCUAUGGUUUGUAAACUUCUUUUAUAUGGGAAUAAAACAGGGUAUGCAUACCCUCUUGUAUGUACCAUAUGAAUAAGGAUCGGCUAACUCCGUGCCAGCAGCCGCGGUAAUACGGAGGAUCCGAGCGUUAUCCGGAUUUAUUGGGUUUAAAGGGAGCGUAGGUGGUUUGUUAAGUCAGUUGUGAAAGUUUGCGGCUCAACCGUAAAAUUGCAGUUGAAACUGGCAGUCUUGAGUACAGUAGAGGUGGGCGGAAUUCGUGGUGUAGCGGUGAAAUGCUUAGAUAUCACGAAGAACUCCGAUUGCGAAGGCAGCUCACUGGACUGCAACUGACACUGAUGCUCGAAAGUGUGGGUAUCAAACAGGAUUAGAUACCCUAGUAGUC
rnacentral:rRNA from 1 species